AAGGAGUCUGACAUAUGUGCGAGUCAACGAGCGAGUAAACCCGUAAGGUGUAAGGAAGCUAACUGGCGGGAUCCCCUCGAGGGUUGCACCGCCGACCGACCUUAAUCUUAUGAGAAAGGUUCUAGUGAGAGCAUGCCUAUCGAGACCCAAAAGAUGGUGUACUAUGCCUAAGCGGGGUGAAGCCAGAGGAAACUCUGGUGGAGGCCCGCAGCGAUACUGAUGCGCAAACCAUUCAUCUGACUUGGGUAUAGGGGCGAAAGACUAAUCGAACCAUCUAGUAGCUGGUUCCUUUCGAAGUUUCCCUUCGGAUAGCUGGAGCUCGAUGCAAGUUCUAUUGGGUAAAGAUAAUGAUUAGAGGCAUCGAGGACGCAACGCCUUCGACCUAUGCUCAAACUUUAAAUAGGUAGGACGACACGACUGCUUCGUUGAGCCGUGCCACAGAAUCGAGAGCUCCAAGUGGGCCAUUUUUGGUAAGCAGAACUGGCGAUGCGGGAUGAACCAGAAGCCGGGUUAUGGUGCCCAACUGCACGCUAACCUAGAACCCACAAAGGGUGUUGGUCGAUUAAGACAGUAGGACGGUGGUCAUGGAAGUCAAAAUCCGCUAAGGAGUGUGUAACAACUCACAUGCCGAAUCAACCAACCUCGAAAAUGAAUGGUGCUGAAGCAUGCGACCUAUACCCGGCUGUCGGGGCAAGCGCUAGGCCUUGUUACAACUUCUCCUUCCUCUAAAUGAUAAGGUUUAGUAGACUUCUCGCGACGUCGCUGAUGGCGAACCGCCUAAGUCACUACGAUUUGAACACUU
rfam:Populus trichocarpa scaffold_15_contig_148, whole genome shotgun sequence.